GAUGAACGCUGGCGGCGUGCCUAAUACAUGCAAGUCGAGCGAACGGACGAGAAGCUUGCUUCUCUGAUGUUAGCGGCGGACGGGUGAGUAACACGUGGAUAACCUACCUAUAAGACUGGGAGAACUUCGGGAAACUGGAGCUAAUACCGGAUAAUAUUUUGAACCGCAUGGUUCAAAAGUGAAAGAUGGUCUUGCUGUCACUAAUAGAUGGAUCCGCGCUGCAUUAGCUAGUUGGUAAGGUAACGGCUUACCAAGGCAACGAUGCAUAGCCGACCUGAGAGGGUGAUCGGCCACACUGGAACUGAGACACGGUCCAGACUCCUACGGGAGGCAGCAGUAGGGAAUCUUCCGCAAUGGGCGAAAGCCUGACGGAGCAACGCCGCGUGAGUGAUGAAGGUCUUCGGAUCGUAAAGCUCUGUUAUUAGGGAAGAACAUAUGUGUAAGUAACUGUGCACAUCUUGACGGUACCUAAUCAGAAAGCCACGGCUAACUACGUU
rnacentral:rRNA from 1 species